CCUACGGGGGGCUGCAGUGGGGAAUAUUGGACAAUGGGGGGAACCCUGAUCCAGCCAUGCCGCGUGUGUGAAGAAGGCCCUCGGGUUGUAAAGCACUUUCAGUGAGGAAGAAUGCCUGGUGGUUAAUACCCAUCAGGAAAGACAUCACUCACAGAAGAAGCACCGGCUAACUCCGUGCCAGCAGCCGCGGUAAUACGGAGGGUGCGAGCGUUAAUCGGAAUUACUGGGCGUAAAGCGCGCGUAGGUGGCUUGAUAAGCCGGUUGUGAAAGCCCCGGGCUCAACCUGGGAACGGCAUCCGGAACUGUCAAGCUAGAGUGCAGGAGAGGAAGGUAGAAUUCCCGGUGUAGCGGUGAAAUGCGUAGAGAUCGGGAGGAAUACCAGUGGCGAAGGCGGCCUUCUGGACUGACACUGACACUGAGGUGCGAAAGCGUGGGUAGCAAACAGGAUUAGAUACCCCUGUAGUC
rnacentral:rRNA from 1 species